CCCGCGUGAGAUUAGAUAGUUGGUGAGGUAAAGGCCUCACCAAGGCGACGAUCUAUAGCUGGUCUGAGAGGAUGAUCAGCAACACUGGGACUGAGACACGGCCCAGACUCCUACGGGAGGCAGCAGUGGGGAAUCUUAGACAAUGGGCGCAAGCCUGAUCUAGCCAUGCCGCGUGUGUGAUGAAGGUCUUAGGAUCGUAAAGCACUUU
rnacentral:rRNA from 1 species